rnacentral:rRNA from 1 species
AGCUGAUCACUGGGCGUAAAGCGUGCGCAGGCGGUUUUGUGAGACAGUGGUGAAAUCCCCGGGCUCAACCUGGGAACUGCCAUUGUGACUGCAAGGCUAGAGUGCGGCAGAGGGGGAUGGAAUUCCGCGUGUAGCAGUGAAAUGCGUAGAUAUGCGGAGGAACACCGAUGGCGAGGGCAAUCCCCUGGGCCUGCACUGACGCUCAUGCACGAAAGCGUGGGGAGCAAACA